UGCUUGGGCAGCGGCAGUGCGGCCUAAUGUGGGAGCCCAGAGGGAGCCAGAAAGAGAUGGCGGCAGCAAACAAGUUUUCAGGAAGGAAACAAGCAGUGGGAGAGAGUCAAGCAGUUCAUAGUGGGGCCAAUCUACAAUUUCGAUCAAAGACAAUGGGAUUUCAAUUUUAAAUAAAAUAAAAUACAUUUUCUAAAAUUAUAGAUUAAACUAAAGACAUCAAUUAUUAUUCUAAGCCCUCAUAUAUUUUUACUUUAGUUACUAUUAUUUUAUAUUUUUAAUAUUUAAUUUUAUUCAGAUUUAUUUCCACUGUAAAAGAGAGAGCACAGCUGCUCCACCUAAGAGCUUGAGUGGGAGUGAUUUCAAGAGAGAGAGAGAGUGCGUCGUCGAUCCACAUUGAAAGUAAAAGAUAACGCGCAUUAACAACAACAACUGUGACUGGGGGUCGGGGAUGUGGUAUGUGUACAAAUGUCAGCAAACGUGUCAACCUCAGCCACGAACUUGGAUUCGCGACUCGGCUCCCCCAGCCGAAGACUAAAGAUUGGAGCUACGUAGCCGCUUAGCGUUUUGAGUGACGUAUCGGGUGGGGUUGUUGGCGUAUUGCGGACUGUGUGCGGAUAAAUGUGAAUCAUGGCCACGGUGCGUGACAAAAGCUAUGGUGAAAAAAAAUAUAAUACUAUAAAAUAUGCGCUCAGCUCGACGCAGGGCGAAGCGACACUCGCCCCGCAACACAACAACACUCACGCAGGUACCCACUCAUCCUACAGCUGCGGUCAGCGCCAUAGCAACAGUAUAUUUGAGAUAAACUAUCGAGUUGAGUCACGGGAGGACAACGAUUGGAAUGUGAUUUGCAAAUCACUAAAAUAUUUCAUUUAUUUUUCUCUUUUUAAAUAUUAAAAUGUGAGAGAGGAAAAAUGUACAUACCAUAUGUAUAGAUAUAAAUUUAAUACAAUUUAAGAAGAAAGUUUAAAAAUCUGAAUCAUCAUUACAAUAAAAACAUUCAAAAGGGUCAUUUGAAUAGCGAUAUAAUGAAAUAUAUUUGCAAUUAAAUACUCAGAUUAUAAUUUUGUAAAUUAAUAUCAGAAUAAACCGAGUUUCUUAUUUAGAAA